GAUGAACGCUGGCGGCGUGCCUAAUACAUGCAAGUCGAGCGAAUGGAUUAAGAGCUUGCGCUUAUGAAGUUAGCGGCGGACGGGUGAGUAACACGUGGGGAACCUGCCCAUAAGACUGGGAUAACUCCGGGAAACCGGGGCUAAUACCGGAUAAUAUUUUGAACUGCAUGGUUCAAAAGUGAAAGGCGGCUUCGGCUGUCACUUGCGGAUGGACCAGGGUCGCAUUAGCUAGUUGGUGAGGUAACGGCUCACCAAGGCAACGAUGCGUAGCCGACCUGAGAGGGUGAUCGGCCACACUGGGACUGAGACACGGCCCAGACUCCUACGGGAGGCAGCAGUAGGGAAUCUUCCGCAAUGGACGAAAGUCUGACGGAGCAACGCCGCGUGAGUGAUGAAGGCUUUCGGGUCGUAAAACUCUGUUGUUAGGGAAGAACAAGUGCUAGUUGAAUAAGCUGGCACCUUGACGGUACCUAACCAGAAAGCCACGGCUAACUACGUGCCAGCCGCCGCCGUAA
rnacentral:rRNA from 1 species